GCUUGUGGUGUUCCAAGUUUCAAGUUCAUAAUGAAGCAUGUUUUCGAGUGUAGUUUAACUGGUUUGGUUGCAGUGACCUAAAUAUAUCGGGCCAUGUGUGUUGUUUUUUUCUUCCUUUCCAUUAGCAUUUUCCUGAAAAGUAGCGGUAAUUUGAAACAAAAACCAGCCAACCAACCCAAAAAAGCCCUUCUCUGGAGCUAGGGCAUACAUGGUGUUGGGCCACCUUGGCCUCGUGAUAGGUGUCAGGCUUGGACUCGCCUCAUUCCCUGCACACACACCAGUGAGAUUGUUAAAAGAUUAAACGUUUAAAAACAUCAAGCCCUGAGACAAGGACACCCAGGGCGGCUGCCAGGCCUGAUGCGCCCUGAUGGAAGAGCUGAGCUGGAAAGGUGAGCCCAGGGAAGGUCUGACAUCCAGAAACAAGGAUGUCAGCCUGCACCUGGAGGGCGGAAGCCCAGGACCGGUCUACCAUGUGUGAGAUGGGGCCGUGUCCACCCUGGGUGUGGCUGGGCUCGUCACAAGUCCGAAUAUUAUUAAGGGCUAGUUUCUUUGUUUCAAGCACCCGCAUGAUUUAGUAAGGAAAAUG